rnacentral:rRNA from 1 species
GGGGAAUUUUGCGCAAUGGGCGAGAGCCUGACGCAGCAACGCCGCGUGGAGGAUGAAGGUCUUUGGAUUGUAAACUCCUGUCAGCAGGGAAAAAGCGACUACGGAUAAUACCCGUGGGAGUUGAUUGUACCUGCCGAGGAAGCCCCGGCUAACUCUGUGCCAGCAGCCGCGGUAAUACAGAGGGGGCAAGCGUUAUUCGGAAUUAUUGGGCGUAAAGGGCGCGUAGGCGGCCUGGCAAGUGACGGGUGAAAUCCCUCGGCUUAACCGAGGAACUGCCUGUCAGACUGUUAGGCUUGAGACCGGGAGAGGUGAGUGGAAUUCCCAGUGUAGCGGUGAAAUGCGUAGAUAUUGGGAGGAACACCAGUGGCGAAGGCGGCUCACUGGACCGGUACUGACGCUGAUGCGCGAAAGCGUGGGGAGCAAA